UAUUUGAUUGCGUUUUAAGGCAAUAUGAACAUUCUAUGACACAUUCAGAGUAUAUGAUACAUAAGCCCGAAGGCCUACGGUGGGUUCACAGGUGUGUUGUGGAUUUAAGGGCUCGGGCGUGCACACAGCUACAACCCUCGCUUAUAAUUCAAUAAUGAUCCUUCCGCAGGUUCACCUACGGAAA
rnacentral:misc_RNA from 1 species